GUCGUCAGCUCGUGUCGUGAGAUGUUGGGUUAAGUCCCGCAACGAGCGCAACCCUUAUUGCUAGUUACCAUCAUUGAGUUGGGGACGUCUAGCGAGACUGCCAGCGAUAAGCUGGAGGAAGGUGGGGAUGACGUCAAAUCAUCAUGCCCCUUAUGACCUGGGCUACAAACGUGAUACAAUGGCUGGAACAAAGGGAGGCGAAGGGGUGACCUGGAGCGAAACCCAAAAAUACAGUCUCAGUUCGGAUUGAAGUCUGCAACUCGACUUCAUGAAGUCGGAAUCGCUAGUAAUCGCGGAUCAGAACGCCGCGGUGAAUACGUUCUCGGGGUUU
rnacentral:rRNA from 1 species